rnacentral:rRNA from 1 species
UCUCUGGUCUGUAACUGACGCUGAGGAGCGAAAGCGUGGGGAGCGAACAGGAUUAGAUACCCUGGUAGUCCACGCCGUAAACGAUGAGUGCUAAGUGUUAGGGGGUUUCCGCCCCUUAGUGCUGCAGCUAACGCAUUAAGCACUCCGCCUGGGGAGUACGGUCGCAAGACUGAAACUCAAAGGAAUUGACGGGGGCCCGCACAAGCGGUGGAGCAUGUGGUUUAAUUCGAAGCAACGCGAAGAACCUUACCAGGUCUUGACAUCCUCUGACAAUCCUAGAGAUAGGACGUCCCCUUCGGGGGCAGAGUGACAGGUGGUGCAUGGUUGUCGUCAGCUCGUGUCGUGAGAUGUUGGGUUAAGUCCCGCAACGAGCGCAACCCUUGAUCUUAGUUGCCAGCAUUCAGUUGGGCACUCUAAGGUGACUGCCGGUGACAAACCGGAGGAAGGUGGGGAUGACGUCAAAUCAUCAUGCCCCUUAUGACCUGGGCUACACACGUGCUACAAUGGACAGAACAAAGGGCAGCGAAACCGCGAGGUUAAGCCAAUCCCACAAAUCUGUUCUCAGUUCGGAUCGCAGUCUGCAACUCGACU